GACGAACGCUGGCGGCGUGCCUAAUACAUGCAAGUUGAGCGAUGAAGAUUGGUGCUUGCACCAAUUUGAAGAGCAGCGAACGGGUGAGUAACGCGUGGGGAAUCUGCCUUUGAGCGGGGGACAACAUUUGGAAACGAAUGCUAAUACCGCAUAACAACUUUAAACAUAAGUUUUAAGUUUGAAAGAUGCAAUUGCAUCACUCAAAGAUGAUCCCGCGUUGUAUUAGCUAGUUGGUGAGGUAAAGGCUCACCAAGGCGAUGAUACAUAGCCGACCUGAGAGGGUGAUCGGCCACAUUGGGACUGAGACACGGCCCAAACUCCUACGGGAGGCAGCAGUAGGGGAUCUUCGGCAAUGGACGAAAGUCUGACCGAGCAACGCCGCGUGAGGGAAGAAGGUUCUCGGAUCGUAAAACUCUGUUGGUAGAGAAGAACGUUGGUGAGAGUGGAAAGCUCAUCAAGUGACGGUAACUACCCAGAAAGGGACGGCUAACUACGUG
rnacentral:rRNA from 1 species